CACGCUGUAAACGAUGAGUGCUAGGUGUCGGGGGGGAACCCUCGGUGCCGCAGCCAACGCAAUAAGCACUCCACCUGGGGAGUACGAUCGCAAGAUUGAAACUCAAAGGAAUUGACGGGGGCCCGCACAAGCGGUGGAGUAUGUGGUUUAAUUCGAAGCAACGCGAAAAACCUUACCAAGGCUUGACAUCCCUUCGACGAGUAUAGAGAUAUGCUUUCCCUUCGGGGCGAAGGUGACAGGUGG
rnacentral:rRNA from 1 species